AGGAGCCACACACUAAUUCUUUCUUUCUAGACAGAAAUAUGAAGUCAUCCAUGUCUGUAAUACUUGUGGUGGGUCAACUCUUCUUCUAGAAUGAGGUUGUGGAAUGUCAGGUUUCCAGGCCUGAGAACUGGCACACAACACUUUGCUUCUUUCUAGGUUGAUGCAAAGGCUUGGGUAGCAAACCUGAAUUAGAAGGCUCAAGUAAAUAGUGACCUCUUUGUUUCAUCAAAGCUUGUCUCCAACACCAAUGCAGAAGAAUGAUAAAAACACCAUGAUCUCCAGAUGGGCAAGUACCAGCUUCCAUGAGGAGGAAGUCUUUGGUUGGUUGGAGUCUCGCCAAAAUUCC
rnacentral:lncRNA from 1 species